rnacentral:rRNA from 1 species
GACGAACGCUGGCGGCGUGCUUAACACAUGCAAGUCGAACGGUGAAGGGGUCUGCUUUUGUGGGCCCUGGAUGAGUGGCGAACGGGUGAGUAACACGUGAGUAACCUGCCCCCUUCUUCUGGAUAACCGCAUGAAAGUGUGGCUAAUACGGGAUAUUCUGGGUCUGUCGCAUGAUGGGUCUGGGAAAGAUUGCGCCUUUGGGUGUUUUUGGUUGGGGAUGGGCUCGCGGCCUAUCAGCUUGUUGGUGGGGUGAUGGCCUACCAAGGCGGUGACGGGUAGCCGGGCUGAGAGGGUGGACGGUCAAGCUGGGACUGAGACACGGCCCAGACUCCUACGGGAGGCAGCAGUGGGGAAUAUUGAACAAUGGGCGCAAGCCUGAUGCAGCGACGCCGCGUGAGGGAGGGAGGCCUUCGGGUUGUAAACCUCUUUCGCCAGUGAAGCAGGCCUGCUCCUUGUGGGUGGGUUGACGGUAGCUGGAGAAGAAGCGCCGGCUAACUACGUG